rnacentral:rRNA from 1 species
UAUCUCUGUAGAGUCUGCAUAUCAAUAAGCGGAGGAAAAGAAACUAACUAGGAUUCCCUUAGUAACGGCGAGUGAAGCGGGAAGAGCUCAAAUUUGAAAUCUUCAAGGUUUUACCUUGACGAAUUGUAGUUUAAAGAAGUGUUUUCUGUUGGUGUUUUGGUAAAAGUUCUUUGGAAUAGGACAUCAUAGAGGGUGAGAAUCCCGUAUUUGACCAUUACUUCCAGCGUUGUGAUACACUUUCAAAGAGUCGGAUUGUUUGGGAAUGCAGUCCAGAAUGGGUGGUAAAUUUCAUCUAAAGCUAAAUAUUGGCGAGAGACCGAUAGCGAACAAGUACCGUGAGGGAAAGAUGAAAAGAACUUUGAAAAGAGAGUUAAACAGUACGUGAAAUUGUCAAAGGGAAGCGUUUGACACCAGUGUUGUUUUCUCGAAAAUCAAUUAAAAAAAGUUGGAUUUUGUAUUGUUAAGACCUUAUCAGCUUACUGUACUCUUUUCUUGCUUUUUUUAAUGCACUUUUCGUUUAACAAGUCAACAUCAAUUUCUUUUGUUGUAAAAGAGUCAUUGGAAGGUGGCUUUCACUUCGGUGAAAGUGUUUAUAGCCUUUGGCUUCUGCAAUCGGAGAGAUUGAGGUCUGCAGCGUAGAUCCUUCGGGGCUAGAUACGUAGAUGCUAAGUUAUAGUUUUUUAUAGACAACUUGUUGACUAUAAUUAAUCAUGUAGCUUACUCGUUUGCGCUAUUUUACCUACGCUUAGGAUGUUGAAGAUGUAGCACAUCAU